UACGGGGGGGGCAAGCGUUGUUCGGAAUUACUGGGCGUAAAGCGUGCGCAGGCGGUUUUGUAAGUCUGUCGUGAAAUCCCCGGGCUCAACCUGGGAAUUGCGAUGGAGACUGCAAGGCUAGAGUUUGGCAGAGGGGGGUAGAAUUCCACGUGUAGCAGUGAAAUGCGUAGAGAUGUGGAGGAACACCGAUGGCGAAGGCAGCCCCCUGGGUCAAAACUGACGCUCAUGCACGAAAGCGUGGGGAGCAAACAGG
rnacentral:rRNA from 1 species